CAGCCGCCGCGGGAAAACGAAGGGGGCUAGCGUUGCUCGGAAUCACUGGGCGUAAAGCGUGCGUAGGCGGUUUGUUAAGUCUGCUGUGAAAUCCCCGGGCUCAACCUGGGAAUGGCAGUGGAUACUGGCAAGCUAGAGUGUGUCAGAGGAUGGUGGAAUUCCCGGUGUAGCGGUGAAAUGCGUAGAGAUCGGGAGGAACAUCAGUGGCGAAGGCGGCCAUCUGGGACAACACUGACGCUGAGGCACGAAAGCGUGGGGAGCAAACAGGAUUAGAUACCCCGGUAGUCCCUGUCUCUUAUAC
rnacentral:rRNA from 1 species